rnacentral:rRNA from 1 species
UUGGGCGUAAGGGCGUGUAGGCGGUCUUUUAAGUCAGGGGUGAAACCCCGGGGCUCAACCCCGGGCCGGCCUCUGAAACUGGGAGACUUGAGUGCUCUAGAGGGCAGUGGAAUUCCCGGUGUAGCAGUGAAAUGCGUAGAGAUCGGGAGGAACACCAGUGGCGAAGGCGACUGCCUGGGGAGUAACUGACGCUGAGGCGCGAAAGCUGGGGGAGCAAACGGGAUUAGAUACCCCGGUAGUCCCAGCCGUAAACGAUGAGUGCUAGGUGUAGGGGGUAUCGACCCCCCCUGUGCCGGAGUUAACGCAAUAAGCACUCCGCCUGGGGAGUACGGCCGCAAGGUUGAAACUCAAAGGAAUUGACGGGGGGCCCGCACAAGCAGCGGGAGCAUGGUGGUUUAAUUUC